CCAUUGUGAGCUCAUGCACUAGGCCCCAACAGACCAAACCAAACCAAAAUGGAGUUGCUUGUGCUAAGACUUUAAGGAAACACAUAGAUCCUAGAACAGACCAGUUUUUUUUUCCUCUCUCUUGCAAAUCUCUGUAACAAACAUUCCUGACAGCAUAGGUAUCCACCCAUUGAAGUUCCCAUUAAAUCUUUUAACCAAAUUAAUUUCCUGUCUCCUAGAGACCAUCAAACCAGAUGAUCAUGUGGCAAGUGUUCCAGCCAGUUCCAGAUGAAGACACCACCCCCUGAAGAAGCUACCCUAUUUCCACUAGACAGAGGAGGGCGAGAAUUCCAUGAUUCCAUGAUUCCCAAUAUGUAAGGACUACACCUCAAUCAGCAUGAGGCAAUUACAGAAGAAAGACCAUUGGUCCCUCUGCCUCCCAUAAAGAUUUAUGGGGAUCACAUCUCUCAGGGAAAAAUGAGGCAGGAGAAUAGGGUCUGGAGGCAGGGAUCAUAAGGCUGAUUCACACUGACUUCCUAGAACUAAAUCAAAAGGAAAACCCCAACUUUCCACACCUAAGUAACAAAAGGACUGGAGGCUACUCCCUUUGCAAACCACCCCCUGCCGCCCUUUUUCUACAUGGUAGAUGGAAAAUUUAAAGUAUCUCUAAUUGGUUGCAGGUUGCAGAAAGCAACCAAUCAGAGGCUUGCAUAGGAGUGUAACUUUGUAACUUCAGCCUCUGAUUGGUUGCUUUUCACAACCAAUCAGACACUUGCAUAAGUGUAACCUUUGUAACUUCAGCCUCUGACUGGUUGCUUUCCUAAACCAAACAGACUAAUUGCGGGCCAUACUUCACUUACAUAGCGUGUACACCAAGUAGUAACCAAUGGGAAACCUCUAGAUGGUAUUUAAAUCCCAGAAAAUUCUGUAAUGGGGGUCUUGAGCUCCUAUGCUCCGGCCGCUCCCACCCUGUGGAGUGUACUUUGAUUUUCA
rnacentral:lncRNA from 10 species